GUCCCCAUAGCUCAGCUGGAUAGAGCGCAAGCUUGCGGAGCUUGAGGUCGUAGGUUCAAACCCUACUGGGGACGCCA
rnacentral:tRNA from 1 species